GUCAUUGUCAACGUCACUAACGCGUCGCGAACGCUGUACUGUGGCUGCUUCCGGCAUUAGGUGUGGACAUUGGAGAGAGUAAGCUCCGAUUGCAUGAUUGCCUUUCCCUCGCGUAUCGUUCGAAUCAGCUGUUCUGUUUCUCGUGCGGGUCUCGCACUGCUGCUGUGGCUGCCGUUGUUGUGUGUGACUAUGCAUACAUCAGAUGCGUCAUCGGUGCUCCCCUUGAAAUAUUGAAAGUGUUGACUGCUAGUCCGGGCGCAUUUCACGUCCUGCCCACGGAUAACAUUGCUGUUUUGUUUUGUGUUGAUUUUGUUUUAUAGUUUGUUUUGUUUGUCUUUAUUUAUAUUUGGUUAAAAGUGAUAUUCUCUGCUCUUCUUUGUCUUCGUAUUUUCUAUUAGUUUUCUGUGUAUUUAUUUUUAGUUGAUUCCUAUUUUCCAAAGAACCUUAUCCUCGUUCUUGGGUUUAUUUUGCAGCUCAUCAUUUUGUUGGCUGUUCGAUUAAUUGUAUAUUUUGUUAAAUGUGAUCUUUUUCUCCUUUUGUAUUUUUCUAGUUUGUAUUUUUGUUUUGCUGUUUUCUUUUUUUUGUAAACUGUUAAAAACCAACUGUUUCUAUUGUGCAUCCUCUUGAUUUUUUUUUUUUUUUACUUAUUCGUUGUUAUUUGAGGGCAAAUAGGCCUUGUCCAUUUCUUUUGCAGUUUGGUUAAUUCUUAUUGUUUGUGUUUUGUCAAUUAGUUUAAAUUAACAUGAGGGCAGUUCAGUGUCAUGUUUAAUAAUUCUGUGUGUAUCUUAGUGAUUCUUUAUUGAGAUUGCUCUGUUUUUGUGUCACAGGAUCUGGGUGCCAAAGGCAGGGAGGCCGGCUCUAUUCCCUUCUAGUGGUGGUGGUGUUAUUCACAGUGUGCUGUGUGUGUGUGUGUGUGUUUGCGUGCACUGGUAAAAGGAAUGAUUUCUGACAGCCUGACCCUGCUGGUAAGCCCCAGUUAGCUGGUGUUCCUGUGACAUUCGUAGAGCUAAACUCUUAUGAUGCGCUGUGCUUUGGCUGAGGCCGAUAUGUUUUAAUGAUUGUUUUAAAGGGAC
ensembl:lncRNA